AGGGGCGAUGGUACCAGCACUAAUGUGUCGGGUCUCAUCAGAUUUCUGCAAUUAAGCGUGCUUGGACGAAAGUAGUACUAGGAUGAGUGACCUCCUGGGAAGUCCUCGUGUUACACCUU
rnacentral:rRNA from 1 species